rnacentral:rRNA from 1 species
UACGGUGAGGGCUAGCGUUGUCCGGAAUCAUUGGGCGUAAAGCGCGCGUAGGCGGCCCGGUAAGUCCGCUGUAAAAGUCCAGGGCUCAACCCUGGAACGCCGGUGGAUACUGUCGGGCUAGAGUCCGGAAGAGGCGAGUGGAAUUCCUGGUGUAGCGGUGGAAUGCGCAGAUAUCAGGAGGAACACCGAUGGCGAAGGCAGCUCGCUGGGACGGUACUGACGCUGAGGCGCGAAGCGUGGGGAGCGAACAGG